rnacentral:ncRNA from 2 species
ACGCAUCGUGCGGGAGAGAGCGGCUACUGUUACAUGACAGGCGCCGCCACCGAAGGCGCAAUUCGCCCAGAAUCGCUCAGGUAACCGAUACCGCAUCAUGCCU